rnacentral:rRNA from 1 species
CGGGACGGGUGAGUAACGCGUGGGUAACCUGCCUCAUACAGGGGGAUAACGGUUAGAAAUGACUGCUAAUACCGCAUAAGCGCACAGUACCACAUGGUACAGUGUGAAAAACUACCGGUGGUAUGAGAUGGACCCGCGUCUGAUUAGCUAGUUGGUGAGGUAACGGCCCACCAAGGCGACGAUCAGUAGCCGACCUGAGAGGGUGACCGGCCACAUUGGGACUGAGACACGGCCCAG